CCUACGGGAGGCAGCAGUGGGGAAUAUUGCACAAUGGGGGAAACCCUGAUGCAGCGAUGCCGCGUGAAGGAAGAAGUAUUUCGGUCUGUAAACUUCUAUCAGCAGGGAAGAAAAUGACGGUACCUGACUAAGAAGCCCCGGCUAACUAAGUGCCCGCAGCCGCGUUAAUACGUAGGGGGCAAGCGUUAUCCGGAUUUACUGGGUGUAAGGGGAGCGUAGGCGGUUUAGCAAGUCAGAAGUGAACGCCCGGGGCUCAACUCCGGGACUGCUUUUGAAACUGUUGAACUAGAUUGCAGGAGAGGUAAGUGGAAUUCGUGGUGUAGCGGUGAAAUGCAUAGAUAUUAGAAGGAACACCAGUGGCGAAGGCAGCUUACUGGACUGUGAAUGACGCUGAGGCUCGAAAGCGUGGGUAGCAAACAGGAUUAGAUACCCCAGUAGUC
rnacentral:rRNA from 1 species